rnacentral:rRNA from 1 species
GUGAGGAAUUUUCCGCAAUGGGCGAAAGCCUGACGGAGCAAUGCCGCGUGAAGGAUGAAGGCCUAUGGGUUGUAAACUUCUUUUCUCAGAAAAGAAUUAUGACGGUAUCUGAGGAAUAAGCAUCGGCUAACUCUGUGCCAGCAGCCGCGGUAAGACAGAGGAUGCAAGCGUUAUCCGGAAUGAUUGGGCGUAAAGCGUCUGUAGGUUGUUUAAAAAGUAUUCUGUCAAAGAUUAGGGCUUAACCCUAGAUAGGAAGAAUAAACUUUUAAGCUAGAGGUUGGUAGAGGCAGAGGGAAUUCCCGGUGGAGCGGUGAAAUGCGUAGAUAUCGGGAGGAACACCAAAGGCGAAGGCACUCUGCUGGGCCAAUACUAACACUGAGAGACGAAAGCGAGGGGAGCAAAUGGGAUUAGAAACCCUGGUAGUCC